rnacentral:misc_RNA from 1 species
AAAAAAAAAAAAAAAAAACAUAACCCAAACAAAGUAGAAGUUGAGACAAAACCCACACACAACACUCUCUAAGUUGCUAAAACUCAAAUCACCAAGCAGGAUCAUGGUUCACGCCAAUGUGCUGAAAUAGAAGAUUCGAAGCUGGAGAAGAAGCCAAUGCACGAGUCAAUGCUGAACGCACUGUCACUCGCCGGUGUGUGAGGCAGCACUAGAAACCUGGAUCUGGCAUGUGAGCUUCACUUUUUGGGAGUCUGAUGACCUGACUUUGCGUGUAGGUUGAUCGGCGGCUUGGAAGUCCUUUGGGACUGGUGGUGAGAUGAAAAAGUCACCCUAAAUGAGUGAUUUGAAGACUCCAGUAGGUUAACCUAAGAACAAAUAGGGAAGCAAACAAAAAAAAAAUUCAGAUUUCAAGCUCUAAUACCAUGUUAAGAUUUAAGAAUGAAAAGAAGAAAAAGGAUGAAAGGGAAGAAAGGAAGAGAAGAAAAGAGAAAAAAAAAUAUAUCAGAAACUACAUCUUUAUUUUGAUUACUUUUAUAAAAUAAAGGAUUACUUAUUUUUUAUAUAAUCUCCUAUAAUUACUCUACUUA